rnacentral:rRNA from 1 species
AGUGAACGCUGGCGAUAGGCCUAACACAUGCCAGUCGAACGGCAGCACAGUAAGAGCUUGCUCUUACGGGUGGCGAGUGGCGGGCGGGUGAGGAAUACAUCGGAAUCUACUUUUUCGUGGGGGAUAACGUAGGGAAACUUACGCUAAUAACGCAUACGACCUACGGGUGAAAGCAGGGGAUCUUCGGACCUUGCGCGAUUGAAUGAGCCGAUGUCGGAUUAGAUAGUUGGCGGGGUAAAGGCCCACCAAGGCGACGAUCCGUAGCUGGUCUGAGAGGAUGAUCAGCCACACUGUAACUGAGACACGUUCCAGACUCCUACGGGAGGCAGCAGUGGGGAAUAUUGGACAAUGGGCGCAAGCCUGAUCCAGCCAUACCGCGUGGGUGAAGAAGGCCUUCGGGUUGUAAAGCCCUUUUGUUGGGAAAGAAAAGCAGCAGGUUAAUACCCCGCUGUUCUGACGGUACCCAAAGAAUAAGCACCGGCUAACUUCGUG